UUUUGCUUACUUUUAACUUGUAUAGUUGCAGUGUAAGUUUCAGUCUUCGGACUAUCAUCUUUUCUUUUAAUUACCAUUCAUAUUGUUCAGACAUUGUACCAUGCCAAAGUCUGAAGCAACUGAACCCUUCGAAAGCUCCGGAUGAUAAAUAAAAUAUAGCCGAAUCGUUGUGUGACGAGAAAUAGUGCUUUUUGACCGAAAAGCAAAUACAGACAAAUACAUUGUCGCAACUGUUUAAAACUAAAGUGAAAGAAACUCUACGUCCAGGAUUAUCUCUAACGACGUGAUUCUUUGCAUAGAAUCGGACUAUAGAAACACGACAGAUCCUCAAUACAGGAACCUAGCAAUAGUGCAAUCUAGACAUCUCUUGCAUAACUUUGCUUGGAUGCAACAAUGACCUUUUAAAUAACACAUGCUGGAAACUGUUCAAAUAUUCAAUUCAGAUAUUUAACUGUCAUUGGAAUCGAAUAUUACAUUAAUUGAAAAAUGUUGAAAUAAAUUAUUAAUUUUAACAUAUAAAUUACUAGACACGUUACAUAUACAUUUAUUAACUGUAGAUGUUAUGAUCACCCACGGAUUUGGGCCAAUAGUCGAAAAAUGUGUCCAGCGUGUGAACAUGAGGUUCGCAUCUUUUAUUUUGUUAAAGAAUUUGAUUACUGACUUCCAAAAUCAGCCUCAACGGAUUAUGGCUCGUGUCUUUGACAUCGCUGUCUCGUAAUCGUGCAAAGCAGAAACGGUUUAUUACGUGUUAAACGUGUUUUGAAAACAUAUUUUGACUAUUAGCCAAAAUUGGUGUUUCAUCCUAACAUACCUGAUUUAGGUUUUAAUACACAGUGUGUGGAAGUAUCCUAUAAUUGCUGAUUAUCGAAAUAAAUAUAUACGUAUGACCAUUACGAUAAAUAAUUUAAUUUUCGGCAUGCAGUAAUAAAAAUGGUAAUCCUUUUUUGUACGUAAGAAAUACACUGAUAGCAUAUAUUAAAUAUAGUCUUCAACCAUAAUUUUAUCAUUGUAUGUUGAAAAUAAAAUGUUUCUGAUAUUUUGUCAAGAAAAAGAUAGCAUUUUAUCAUUUUUGAAGAAUGUUAGAUUUUCGUGGCUCCUUUUUAUGGAGUUAACAUGCAUUUGAGCCAGAUGUUAUUAAGUUAUUUUUGCGGUGCGUUUUAUAUUGCAAUUGACUACUUAAAUAAACCAAUGGA
rnacentral:lncRNA from 1 species